rnacentral:rRNA from 1 species
CCGGCGACCGGCGCACGGGUGAGUAACGCGUAUGCAACCUGCCCGUUUCAGCGGGAUAACCCGGAGAAAUCCGGCCUAAUACCGCAUGUGGCCGAGGGGAGGCAUCUUCUUUCGGCCAAAGGAGGCGACUCCGGAGACGGAUGGGCAUGCGUGACAUUAGCUUGUUGGCGGGGUAACGGCCCACCAAGGCGACGAUGUCUAGGGGUUCUGAGAGGAAGGUCCCCCACACUGGUACUGAGACACGGACCAGACUCCUACGGAAGGCAGCAG